rnacentral:rRNA from 1 species
UACGUAGGGCGCAAGCGUUGUCCGGAAUCAUUGGGCGUAAAGAGCUCGUAGGCGGCCUGUUGCGUCCGCUGUGAAAUCCCGGGGCUUAACCCCGGGCGUGCAGUGGAUACGGGCUGGCUGGAGGCAGGCAGGGGAGAACGGAAUUCCCGGUGUAGCGGUGAAAUGCGCAGAUAUCAGGAGGAACACCGGUGGCGAAGGCGGGUCUCUGGGCCGAUACUGACACUGAGGAGCGAAAGCGUGGGGAGCGAACAGG